rnacentral:rRNA from 6 species
UAAGGCCGAGAGCUGAUGACGAGUUACCCUUUGGGUGACGAAGUGGUUGAUGCCAUGCUUCCAAGAAAAGCUUCUAAGCUUCAGGUAACCAGGAACCGUACCCCAAACCGACACAGGUGGUUGGGUAGAGAAUACCAAGGCGCUUGAGAGAACUCGGGUGAAGGAACUAGGCAAAAUGGCACCGUAACUUCGGGAGAAGGUGCGCCGGUGAGGGUGAAGCACUUGCUGCGUAAGCCCACGCCGGUCGAAGAUACCAGGCCGCUGCGACUGUUUAUUAAAAACACAGCACUCUGCAAACACGAAAGUGGACGUAUAGGGUGUGACGCCUGCCCGGUGCCGGAAGGUUAAUUGAUGGGGUUAGCUAACGCGAAGCUCUUGAUCGAAGCCCCGGUAAACGGCGGCCGUAACUAUAACGGUCCUAAGGUAGCGAAAUUCCUUGUCGGGUAAGUUCCGACCUGCACGAAUGGCGUAACGAUGGCGGCGCUGUCUCCACCCGAGACUCAGUGAAAUUGAAAUCGCUGUGAAGAUGCAGUGUAUCCGCGGCUAGACGGAAAGACCCCGUGAACCUUUACUAUAGCUUUGCACUGGACUUUGAAUUUGCUUGUGUAGGAUAGGUGGGAGGCUUUGAAGCGUGGACGCCAGUUCGCGUGGAGCCAUCCUUGAAAUACCACCCUGGCAACUUUGAGGUUCUAACUCAGGUCCGUUAUCCGGAUCGAGGACAGUGUAUGGUGGGUAGUUUGACUGGGGCGGUCUCCUCCUAAAGAGUAACGGAGGAGUACGAAGGUGCGCUCAGACCGGUCGGAAAUCGGUCGUAGAGUAUAAAGGCAAAAGCGCGCUUGACUGCGAGACAGACACGUCGAGCAGGUACGAAAGUAGGUCUUAGUGAUCCGGUGGUUCUGUAUGGAAGGGCCAUCGCUCAACGGAUAAAAGGUACUCCGGGGAUAACAGGCUGAUACCGCCCAAGAGUUCAUAUCGACGGCGGUGUUUGGCACCUCGAUGUCGGCUCAUCACAUCCUGGGGCUGAAGCCGGUCCCAAGGGUAUGGCUGUUCGCCAUUUAAAGUGGUACGCGAGCUGGGUUUAGAACGUCGUGAGACAGUUCGGUCCCUAUCUGCCGUGGACGUUUGAGAUUUGAGAGGGGCUGCUCCUAGUACGAGAGGACCGGAGUGGACGAACCUCUGGUGUUCCGGUUGUCACGCCAGUGGCAUUGCCGGGUAGCUAUGUUCGGAAAAGAUAACCGCUGAAAGCAUCUAAGCGGGAAACUUGCCUCAAGAUGAGAUCUCACUGGGACCUUGAGUCCCCUGAAGGGCCGUCGAAGACUACGACGUUGAUAGGCAGGGUGUGUAAGCGCUGUGAGGCGUUGAGCUAACCUGUACUAAUUGCCCGUGAGGCUUGACCAUA